rnacentral:siRNA from 1 species
GCAUUGGUUUGCUAAAUCGACA